AUACGUAGGUGACAAGCGUUAUCCGGAUUUACUGGGCGUAAAGGGCGUGUAGGCGGUCUUGCAAGUCAGAAGUGAAAUUCCUGAGCUCAACUCGGGCGCUGCUUCUGAAACUGCAGGACUUGAGUGCGGAAGAGGUAAGUGGAAUUCCCAGUGUAGCGGGGAAACGCGUAGAGAUUGGGAGGAACACCAGUGGCGAAGGCGACUUACUGGGCCGUAACUGACGCUGAGGCGCGAAAGCGUGGGGAGCGAACAGGAUUAGAUACCCUGGUAGUCCACGCGGUAAACGAUGAAUGCUAGGUGUAGGGGGUAUCGACUCCCUCUGUGCCGCAGUUAACACAAUAAGUAUUCCGCCUGGGGAGUACGGCCGCAAGGUUGAAACUUAAAGGAAUUGACGGGG
rnacentral:rRNA from 1 species